UACGAGGGGUGCAAGCGUUGUUCGGAAUUAUUGGGCGUAAAGGGCAGGUAGGUGGUCUUAUAAGUCUACUGUGAAAUCCCCGAGCUUAACUCGGGACGUGCGGUGGAUACUGUAAGACUAGAGUGCUGGAGGGGUUCGUGGAAUACCCGGUGUAGCGGUGAAAUGCGUAGAUAUCGGGUGGAACACCAGAGGCGAAGGCGGCGAACUUGACAGUAACUGACACUCAACUGCGAAAGCGUGGGGAGCAAACAGG
rnacentral:misc_RNA from 1 species